rnacentral:rRNA from 1 species
CGCAGGACGAACGCUGGCGGCGUGCCUAAUACAUGCAAGCGAGCGAGUUUUCUUGGUUGCUUGCACUAGAAAAACUUAAGACGGCGAACGGGUGGAGUAACACGUAAAGAAACCUGCCUCAUAGACUGGACAACUAAUUGGAAACGAUAGCUAAUACCGGAUAACAGCAUUAACUGCAUGGUUGUAUGUUUAAAAGUUAGGUUUUGUCUAACACUAUGAGAUGGCUUUGCGGUGCAUUAGCUAGUUGGUGGGGUAAAGGCCUACCAAGGCGACGAUGCAUAGCCGACCUGAGAGGGUGAUCGGCCACACUGGGACUGAGACACGGCCCAGACUCCUACGGGAGGCAGCAGUAGGGAAUCUUCCGCAAUGGGCGAAAGCCUGACGGAGCAACGCCGCGUGAGUGAAGAAGGAUUUCGGCUCGUAAAGCUCUGUUGUUAGGGAAGAAUGAUUGUGUAGUAACUAUACACAGUAGAGACGGUACCUAACCAGAAAGCCACGGCUAACUACGUG